GCCGGGCGUGGUGGCUCACGCCUGUAAUCCCAGCACUUUGGGAGGCCAAGGCGGGUGGAUCACCUGAGGUCAGGAGUUCGAGACCAGCCUGGCCAACAUGGUGAAACCCCGUCUCUA
ensembl:misc_RNA Metazoa_SRP Metazoan signal recognition particle RNA